UGCAGAGGAUCCAUUGGUAAUGUUAGUAAUGUUAAAUUUCUCCACAUCUGUUCUGAUGAAUACACAAACUCAUCUACAUCAUGGAUGGCCUGAGAGAGUUCCCCUAAUUUUCAUUUUUGGAAGGAGUGAAGGUCAGGCUGUAAGAUGUCAGCUUCCAUUGACCAUGAUUUUGUGGCUGUGAUGGACUCGAGUGUGUGCCAGCGUGGCUCCAGGUGACACGAGGCAGGUCUGACGGACAGGAAUGAGACACGGCACAGGUGGCAGUCACCGGUUUCCCUGAUGUCACUUCCUCUUCCACAGAGACGUCCGUAUCCGAUCAGAUGGUGGAUCAGCACCAAGAGAUGAUGUCUACAGCCCUGAUCGUCAGCAGAGACCAGGACACCCAGAUGAGCCCCAGAGACAUAUCCCCAGUGAAGACCUCGAUUAAAAUACAAUAAAACUAUAAAUAUAACAAAAUAACUAAAAAUAUAAUAAAAUACAUAAUACUAUUAUUGUUAGAAAUUGCAACAAAAUAAAAAAUAGAAAUAUAAACUUUUGAACUGCGGCUUUCGUCUGUCCAGAGGACAACUGGCCCCCGACUGAGUCUGGUUUCUCCCAAGGUUUUUUUCUCCAUUCUGUCUCAGAGGGAGUUUUGGUUCCUUGCCGCUGUCGCCUCUGGCUUGCUCAGUUGGGGACACUUAAUUUCUAGCGAUUAUCGCCGAUUUGAUUGCACAGAUAAUAUUUAAACUAAACUGAGCUAAACAAUGACAUCUCUGAAUUCAAUAAUGAAAUGCCUUUAACUGAAAAUUGAGCGUUUAAUCUUAUCAUUAUACAUUACUGACACUCUAUCUUCCAAUUUGAUACUGUUAAGUGCUUUGACACAAUCUCUAUUGUUAAAAGCGCUAUAUAAAUAAAGGUGACUUGACUUGACUUGACUUUAAUUUUUCUUAUAAUGUAUAAAUACUAAAUAUGUGAUCUGACAGCAUAUAUUGCUUUUCUGGAUUGAUAGUCAUUACUUCUAGCCAGAGGUGUAAAAAUUACUCAAAAAUUGUAAUCAAGUGAAAGUACAAGUAUCUGGCCAAAACAUACUUGAGUAAAAGUAAAAAAGUACAACUUUCAAAUUGUACUCAAGUAUUAAAAAAUUAGAAGUACUUUCUUUUCUGACAGACAUUCAGAAGUUUGGUUAAAGGGAGAAAACGAAACAAAAUGCAAUGGCACAGGUCAAACACGUAUAUCUUGUGCAACAACAACAACAAUUAAAAUACAGCACAGUGGAACACAGGAAGAAAAAAAAAAAUACAGGGAAAAGGAUUAAAAGGAAACUCCAUGCUUUUCACCCUCAUGCCAUCCCAAAUGCCUUUCAUUUAUCAAAUGAACACACUAAGAGUUGGCCCGAUCCGCGGCUUGUUGCAAGCGAUUUUUUGUCCAAAAAAUCCUCUAUUGUGUGGUGUCAUUACGAUUAUUUAUCUGCUCCCGAUCGAGACAGAAUUAAAAAAAAAUUUAUAAAAUCAUUGGACAGUCCUAAUUACUCAAUGUGUCAUAUAAUGACAUAUUAUAAAUACAACUUAUCCACUACCUGGUAAGAACAUCACUAAACAUGAAUUACAAUUAAUUUAACAUACAAUGUUUAUUAAACACUUUGUGGAGAUUUUUAUUUAAUUAAAAAAAAAAAUAUUUCCACAAAAAUAUUAAUUGUAUUUAAAUUAUCAUCACUGAUCUUAUUUGCACUCCAUCUUGUGCAUUCAGCUAAUAUAUCACACAGCUAAUGGCUCUAUCAAAACAGAAUGAAUAAUAAAUACACUUUUUGGGGGGGAAAAUGCAACUUUGCUAGCUCAACAUGCUACCUCAGAUUUGAUGGUGAACUUUUGAAGCCAGACAUUUACCUGAUGAAAGUCAUAACUGAAGUAGAUAUGUGUGUGCUUGAUGCAUGAAAACAAUGAUCAUUGGUUCUCACAUCAGGCACGCUUUAUUUCAAGAUUAAAUAAAAUUGUAAGGAGUAAAAAGUACUGUUUUUUUUUCUUCAGAAAUGUAGUCAAGUAAAAGUACAAAUAGUAAGUUUAAAUUGUACUUGAAUAAAUUACAAAUCCCCCAAAAUAAUACUUAAGUACAGUAAUCAAGUAAAAUUACUGAAGUAUUUUACACCUCUGCUUCUAGCAGAGUUAGGGUUGAGGGAACAGAGAACAUAAGGCUGAGAGAACACAUAACACUGGAUAAAACUACAUAAUACAGUUUGUUUGUAUUCUGAUAAUAUAUUUUUUGGAUCAUUUGUUAAGAUGUUUAAAUGUGAAUAUUAAGAUCCUUGUGAAAUUAAGAUGAGUUACAAUGUAAAUGGAUAGAGUUAAAUGAACAAAUUGUUUUAUUUGUUCAUAUAAUUGUUUUAAAAUAUACCUUGUUACCAUAGCAGAUGCACAGCAGAGAUACUGUUAAGAGAUGAGAGAAAAUGGUCCCACUUUAUAUUAGGUGGCCUUAACUACUAUGUACUUACAUCAAAAAAUACUUAUUGUGUUCAUACUAUAUUGCAAAACACUAUUGCUGCCAUUGAGGUGGGAUACAGGUAAGGUUAGGGACAGGUUUGGUGGUCUAGGUUUAAGGGUGGGUUAAGGCGUAAGGGAUGAGUCAACAGUGUAAUUAUAAAUGUAAUUACAGAAAUUAAUUACAGAUGUAAUUACAUAUUGGUAUUUUUAAAAAUAUAAGUACAAUGUAAAAACUUGUAUGUACACAAUAAGUGCAUUGUACCAAAUGAUUAAUUGGAAUGUAAGUACAUAGUAGUUAAGGCCACCUAAUAUAAAGUGGGACCGAGAAAAUAGAUCAUUUGUGUUCCAAUGAUAUAUAAAAUACUUAAAUGUGAAUCUUGAAUAAAAUCUUUAUAAACAAUAACAUACUCA